CCCACUAAGGGUGCCUAUCAAGAUUAAACAGGUCAUCAGGAUACAAAAGAUUGGUGAAUGGCCCCAUCACACCUUGGAAAUGCUACAUGCAAAGAAGCUCAUCUCAUAGGGCCGGAGAUGCUAAAUGAAGGCAGAGAUCCCCAGGGGUUACCCCUGGGUCCACCCUGAAAGACAUUUUGAAUUGACAGAUUACUACAUCUCUGUCAUCUUUAGGAGCCAUUGAUGAUCUUAUUUUCCCGAGCGUCUUCCAAUGUGUUGACUCUGAACACUGUUGCUGCUGCUACACGGAUAAGGAGAGCAAGUCACUGCCCCGGGGGAGCAUGUUAUACAGAGACUCUUACCAGCUGCUGCAUCUGCUGUUGUUAAUG